GUCUACAGCCAUACUACCCUGACCUGAGCAAGCCAGAUCCUGUCUGAUCUUGGAAGCUAAUCAGGGUCAGGCCUGGUUAGUACUUGGAUGGGAGACCACCUAGGAAAACUAGGUGCUAUAGGUG
ensembl:rRNA 5S_rRNA 5S ribosomal RNA